UAGGGAAUCUUCCGCAAUGGACGCAAGUCUGACGGAGCAACGCCGCGUGAGUGAAGAAGGAUUUCGGUUCGUAAAACUCUGUUGUUAGAGAAGAACAGCGCAUAGAGUAACUGUUAUGCGUGUGACGGUAUCUAACCAGAAAGCCACGGCUAACUACGUGCCAGCAGCCGCGGUAAUACGUAGGUGGCAAGCGUUAUCCGGAAUUAUUGGGCGUAAAGCGCGCGUAGGCGGUUUUUUAAGUCUGAUGUGAAAGCCCACGGCUCAACCGUGGAGGGUCAUUGGAAACUGGAAAACUUGAGUGCAGAAGAGGAAAGUGGAAUUCCAUGUGUAGCGGUGAAAUUCGCAGAUAUAUGGAGGAACACCAGUGGCGAAGGCGACUCUCUGGUCUGUAACUGACGCUGAGGCUCGAAAGCGUGGGUAGCAAACAGG
rnacentral:rRNA from 1 species